CCUACGGUGGCUGCAGUGGGGAAUAUUGGACAAUGGGCGAAAGCCUGAUCCAGCCAUGCCGCGUGUGUGAAGAAGGCCUUCGGGUUGUAAAGCACUUUCAGUGGGGAAGAAAGCCUUGGGGCUAAUACCCUCGAGGAAGGACAUCACCCACAGAAGAAGCACCGGCUAACUCCGUGCCAGCAGCCGCGGUAAUACGGAGGGUGCGAGCGUUAAUCGGAAUUACUGGGCGUAAAGCGCGCGUAGGCGGUCUGAUAAGCCGGUUGUGAAAGCCCCGGGCUCAACCUGGGAACGGCAUCCGGAACUGUCAGGCUAGAGUGCAGGAGAGGAAGGUAGAAUUCCCGGUGUAGCGGUGAAAUGCGUAGAGAUCGGGAGGAAUACCAGUGGCGAAGGCGGCCUUCUGGACUGACACUGACGCUGAGGUGCGAAAGCGUGGGUAGCAAACAGGAUUAGAUUACCCCAGUAGUC
rnacentral:rRNA from 1 species